rnacentral:rRNA from 1 species
UACGUAGGGGGCGAGCGUUGUCCGGAAUUAUUGGGCGUAAAGAGCGUGUAGGCGGUCCGGUAAGUCUGCUGUGAAAGUCGGGGGCUCAACCCUGGGAUGCCGGUGGAUACUGUCGGGCUAGAGUGCGGAAGAGGCGAGUGGAAUUCCCGGUGUAGCGGUGAAAUGCGCAGAUAUCGGGAGGAACACCAAUUGCGAAGGCAGCUCGCUGGGACGUUACUGACGCUGAGACGCGAAAGCGUGGGGAGCAAACAGG